ACCUGGCUGGCUCAGUUGGUAGAGCCAUGUGACUCUUGAUCUCGGGGUUGUGAGUUCAAGCCCCAUGUUGGGUG
rnacentral:tRNA from 1 species